rnacentral:rRNA from 1 species
CCUACGGGAGGCUGCAGUGGGGAAUAUUGCACAAUGGGCGCAAGCCUGAUGCAGCCAUGCCGCGUGUGUGAAGAAGGCCUUCGGGUUGUAAAGCACUUUCAGCGGGGAGGAAGGCGUUAAGGUUAAUAACCUUGUCGAUUGACGUUACCCGCAGAAGAAGCACCGGCUAACUCCGUGCCAGCAGCCGCGGUAAUACGGGGGGUGCAAGCGUUAAUCGGAAUUACUGGGCGUAAAGCGCACGCAGGCGGUCUGUCAAGUCGGAUGUGAAAUCCCCGGGCUCAACCUGGGAACUGCAUUCGAAACUGGCAGGCUAGAGUCUUGUAGAGGGGGGUAGAAUUCCAGGUGUAGCGGUGAAAUGCGUAGAGAUCUGGAGGAAUACCGGUGGCGAAGGCGGCCCCCUGGACAAAGACUGACGCUCAGGUGCGAAAGCGUGGGGAGCAAACAGGAUUAGAUACCCGGUAGUC